rnacentral:rRNA from 1 species
UUCCUACGGGGGGCAGCAGUGGGGAAUAUUGCACAAUGGGGGAAACCCUGAUGCAGCGACGCCGCGUGAGUGAAGAAGUAUUUCGGUACGUAAAGCUCUAUCAGCAGGGAAGAAAAAAAGUCCUUUGGACUUUGGACGGUACCUGACCAAGAAGCCCCGGCUAACUACGUGCCAGCAGCCGCGGUAAUACGUAGGGGGCAAGCGUUAUCCGGAUUUACUGGGUGUAAAGGGAGCGUAGACGGCUGUGCAAGCCUGAAGUGAAAGGCGGGGGCCCAACCCCUGGACUGCUUUGGGAACUGUACGGG